UAAGACGAACCGUGCGAACGUUGUUCGGAAUCAUUGGGCUUAAAGGGCGCGUAGGCGGGCGAUCAAGUCCGGGGUGAAAUCCUCCAGCUUAACUGGAGAACUGCCUCGGAUACUGGUCGUCUCGAGGGAGGUAGGGGCAUGUGGAACUCAGGGUGGAGCGGUGAAAUGCGUAGAUAUCCUGAGGAACGCCGGUGGCGAAAGCGACGUGCUGGACCUCUGCUGACGCUGAGGCGCGAAAGCCAGGGGAGCGAACGGGAUUAGAUACCCCGGUAGUCCUGGCCCUAAACGAUGAGGACUAGAUUGUGGGCUUACAUGGGCUCACAGUCGAAGCAAAAGUGCUAAGUCCUCCGCCUGGGGAGUAUGGUCGCAAGGCUG
rnacentral:rRNA from 1 species